GCUGACUCGUCAGCGUUCUUCCCCAUUUCUGUCGAAUUUUCAGCCACUAGUACAUACAGUGACCUGAAGGUUGUGAACAUCAUUCCUCUGCGAGGUGGAGCUGCUCCCAAGUUCUCACAGAGGACAAAGUUGAUUACAGGGGAUUACAAAGUCGUGUGAAUGUUAUUAUUCAUAUUCUAAGGGUAAUCAUAAUUAGGUUGUAUGAGCAUACAUUGCCUUGCCCCCAAGGAUUGAUUGUUGCAUAUGAAUGGUGAGAUUGACGAAGCCUAACCGGGAUGUCAUGGCAUCUUUUAUGUGGAUUUAGGUACUUUUCGAUAUCCGAUCUGUUUUUUU